UAAGGGAUAUUGGACAAUGGAGGAAACUCUGAUCCAGCCAUGCCGCGUGAGUGAAGAAGGCCUUCGGGUUGUAAAACUCUUUCAGUAGUGAAGAUGAUGACGGUAACUACAGAAGAAGCUCCGGCUAACUUCGUGCCAGCAGCCGCGGUAAUACGAAGGGGGCGAGCGUUGUUCGGAAUCACUGGGCUUAAAGCGUAUGUAGGCGGACUUGCAAGUCAGAAGUGAAAGCCUGGGGCUCAACCCCAGAACUGCUUUUGAAACUGCAAAUCUAGUGUCCCGGAGAGGUUGGCGGAAUUCCGAGUGUAGAGGUGAAAUUCGCAGAUAUUCGGAGGAACACCAGUGGCGUAGGCGGCCAACUGGACGGGUACAGACGCUGAGAUACGAAAGCGUGGGGAGCAAACAGG
rnacentral:rRNA from 1 species